rnacentral:rRNA from 1 species
UACGUAGGGUGCAAGCGUUAAUCGGAAUUACUGGGCGUAAAGCGUGCGCAGGCGGUCUUGUAAGACAGGUGUGAAAUCCCCGGGCUUAACCUGGGAACUGCAUUUGUGACUGCAAGGCUGGAGUACGGCAGAGGGGGAUGGAAUUCCGCGUGUAGCAGUGAAAUGCGUAGAUAUGCGGAGGAACACCGAUGGCGAAGGCAAUCCCCUGGGCCUGUACUGACGCUCAUGCACGAAAGCGUGGGGAGCAAACAGG